AGAAUCUUUCGCAAUGCCCGAAAGGGUGACGAAGCUACGCCGCGUGUGGGAAGAAGGCCUUCGGGUUGUAAACCACUGUCGGGAGUUAAGAAAUGUAAGGAUGUUAAUAGCGUCCUUACUUGACUAAGGCUCCGGAGGAAGCCACGGCUAACUCUGUGCCAGCAGCCGCGGUAAUACAGAGGCGGCAAGCGUUGUUCGGAAUUAUUGGGCGUAAAGAGCACGUAGGCGGCCUUGAAAGUCAGUUGUGAAAGCCUUCUGCUUAACGGAAGAACAGCAUCUGAUACUGCAGGGCUUGAGUGUGGGAGGGGAGAGUGGAACUUCUGGUGGAGCGGUGAAAUGCGUAGAUAUCAGAAGGAACGCCGGCGGCGAAAGCGGCUCUCUGGCCCAUAACUGACGCUGAGUGUGCGAAAGCUAGGGGAUCAAACGGGAUUGGAUACCCCGGUCGUCCUAGCCGUAAACGAUGGGCACUAAGUAGAGGGGUUUUGAUUAUCUCUCUGCCGGAGCUAACGCAUUAAGUGCCCCGCCUGAGAAGUACGGCCGCAAGGCUAAAACUCAAAAGAAUUGACGGGGGCUCGCACAAGCGGUGGAGCAUGUGGCUUAAUUCGAUGCAACGCGAAGAACCUUACCGGGGUUUGACAUGGUAGAAGUAGGAACCAGAAAGGGUAACGAACGGUAUUCAGUCCGUAACUAUCACAGGUGUUGCAUGGCUG
rnacentral:rRNA from 1 species